CAUUAUUAGUCUCCAGUCGAGAAAGGAGAGCCACACAGUAAUUUGAACAGGGACAGUUUAAUACUACAAAGAAUGGGCUGAGUGUGGGCUGAAAUCGCAGUGCUUUGGGAGGCUGAGGUGGGAGGAUCACAUGAGCCGGGGAGGUCGAGGCUGCAGAGGUGGGAGGAUCACAUGAGCCUGGGAGGUCGAGGCUGCAGAGGUGGGAGGAUCACAUGAGCCGGGGAGGUCGAGGCUGCAGAGGUGGGAGGAUCACAUGAGCCGGGGAGGUCGAGGCUGCAGAGGUGGGAGGAUCACAUGAGCCGGGGAGGUCGAGGCUGCAGCGAGCUGUGGUUGCACCACUGCACUUCAGCCUGGGCCACAGAGUCAUACCUUGCCUCUAAGAAAAGAUAAUGCAAAC
rnacentral:lncRNA from 1 species